UACGGAGGGGGCUAGCGUUGUUCGGAAUUACUGGGCGUAAAGCGCACGUAGGCGGCUUUGCAAGUCAGAGGUGAAAGCCCGGGGCUCAACCCCGGAAUUGCCUUUUGAGACUGCAUCGCUAGAAUUGUGGAGAGGUAAGUGGAAUUCCGAGUGUAGAGGUGAAAUUCGUAGAUAUUCGGAAGAACACCAGUGGCGAAGGCGACUUACUGGACACAUAUUGAUGCUGAGGUGCGAAAGCGUGGGGAGCAAACAGG
rnacentral:rRNA from 1 species